UGGAAAAUGGCAUGAAGAAAAGGUCUGUGAAUCGCCUGAUGAACCACACUUUCUCAUUGAGAUGUAAAGAAAUCGUGGAAGAGCAGCCAUCUGUAGAAAAGAGCUGGCCAGCGUUCCAACAUCUUCUUUACAAAUGACAGAUUUUUGCUGAGUUCACCAGAGUAGAAAGAUUUCUGUGAAUCUUUGGAUCGCCACACACCCCGCUUCCUUGAAAUCUUCAGGUCCAAAAAGGGGCUUGUUGGCAAGCAACUCUCAGAGAUUCUUGCCCAGGUUGAACAGAGGAUCACUGAUGUCAUUGCCAUGAGGACAGCCAUGUUCCGAUGCCUCCCAGUUUUCCUCGAGGAUGAUGGAAGUGACUUCUACGCUGUCUGUUUCGACUGUGAUGCCAUGGAAGACUUCACUCAGGUUCCUGGGUAUUUGUUUUGGCAUGCUGCAAUUGUUAAAUCCUGUAAAACAGUGUUUUUACCAUAAUAUACAAUGGCUUUUAUUUGCGUUG